rnacentral:rRNA from 1 species
GACGAACGCUGGCGGCGUGCUUAACACAUGCAAGUCGAACGGAAAGGCCCUGCUUUUGUGGGGUGCUCGAGUGGCGAACGGAUGAGUAACACGUGAGUAACCUGCCCUUGACUUUGGGAUAACUUCAGGAAACUGGGGCUAAUACCGGAUAGGAGCUCCUGCUGCAUGGUGGGGGUUGGAAAGUUUCGGCGGUUGGGGAUGGACUCGCGGCUUAUCAGCUUGUUGGUGGGGUAGUGGCUUACCAUGGCUUUGACGGGUAGCCGGCCUGAGAGGGUGACCGGGCACAGUGGGACUGAGAAACGGCCCAGACGGCUACGGGAGGAAGCAGUGGGGAAUAGUGCACAAUGGGCGGAAGCCUGAAGCAGCAACGCCGCGUGCGGGAUGACGGCCUUCGGGUUGUAAACCGCUUUCGCCUGUGACGAAGAGGGAGUGACGGUAAUGGGUAAAGAAGCACCGGCUAACUACGUG